AUGAACGCUGGCGGCGUGCUUAACACAGGCAAGUCGAACGAGAAAUGGAGACGGAAACCUUCGGGCGGAAGGCUUCAUUUCGAGUGGCGGACGGGUGAGUAACGCGUGGGUAACCUGCCUCAUACAGGGGGAUAACAGUUGGAAACGACUGUUAAUACCGCAUAAGACCACAGCACCGCAUGGUGCGGGGGUAAAAACUCCGGUGGUAUGAGAUGGACCCGCGUUCGAUUAGCCAGUUGGCGGGGUAACGGCCCACCAAAGCGACGAUCGAUAGCCGAUCUGAGAGGAUGACCGGCCACAUUGGGACUGAGACACGGCCCAAACUCCUACGGGAGGCAGCAGUGGGGAAUAUUGCACAAUGGGGGAAACCCUGAUGCAGCGACGCCGCGUGAGUGAAGAAGUACUUCGGUAUGUAAAGCUCUAUCAGCAGGGAAGAAAAUGACGGUACCUGAGUAAGAAGCCCCGGCUAACUACGUG
rnacentral:rRNA from 1 species